rnacentral:rRNA from 1 species
AACGUAGGAGACAAACGUUAUCCGGAGUUACUGGGCGUAAAGGGCGUGUAGGUGGUUUCGUAAGUCUGGCGUGAAAUUUUUCGGCUUAACCGGGAAAGGUCGUCGGAUACUGCAGAACUAGAGGACGGUAGAGGCGUGUGGAAUUCCGGGUGUAGUGGUGAAAUGCGUAGAGAUCCGGAGGAACACCAGUGGCGAAGGCGGCUCUCUGGACGGUGACUGACGCUGAGACGCGAAAGCGUGGGGAGCAAACAGG